AUGCGACUCUCCGCCGGCUUCUUCCUCUUAGCACUUUACUUUGUACAGUUUGGAUGUUCAUGGAGCAUCAAGUGCACCACCUCGCCUCACUCACGGUUCUCUGAUCAAACUGAGUACAACGUCUCAGACACGUCACGUGUGCCAGAUGUCAAUGAGCCCGACUGCACGUUCACUUGGUCGGAUAAUGCCACUGUGAUUGCAGAUCAUCGAUCAAAGGACCCUAAGCGGGUGGUGGAAUACGGCAUCAACUACCUCAUCACCCCGAAAUGCUCGGACAACAUCUCCUUCAAACGGAUGUGCUCCGAGGGGAUCGGUUAUCUAGCUCACUGUGAGAUCAACUGCACCUUAAGAGCCCUCCAGAGGUCUCAGGAACAAAGAGGUAGGGAAAGUAGUGUGUAUGAGAUCACUGCCUCCAGCUGCUAUCUGCUUAGGAUCUCGCCAUUUGUGUUUUGCAGCCCAAGCUACUCUCAUUUUUUCUUUCUUUCUUUAAUUUAG
ensembl:lncRNA